UUUUUAUGGAGAGUUUGAUCCUGGCUCAGAGUGAACGCUGGCGGCGUGCCUAAUACAUGCAAGUCGAACGAUGAAGCUUCUAGCUUGCUAGAAGUGGAUUAGUGGCGCACGGGUGAGUAAGGUAUAGUUAAUCUGCCCUACACAAGAGGACAACAGUUGGAAACGACUGCUAAUACUCUAUACUCCUGCUUAACACAAGUUGAGUAGGGAAAGUUUUUCGGUGUAGGAUGAGACUAUAUAGUAUCAGCUAGUUGGUAAGGUAAUGGCUUACCAAGGCUAUGACGCUUAACUGGUCUGAGAGGAUGAUCAGUCACACUGGAACUGAGACACGGUCCAGACUCCUACGGGAGGCAGCAGUAGGGAAUAUUGCGCAAUGGGGGAAACCCUGACGCAGCAACGCCGCGUGGAGGAUGACAC
rnacentral:rRNA from 1 species